rnacentral:rRNA from 1 species
UACGAAGGGGGCUAGCGUUGUUCGGAUUUACUGGGCGUAAAGCGCACGUAGGCGGAUCGUUAAGUCGGAUGUGAAAUCCCCCGGCUCAACCGGGGAAGUGCAUCCGAAACUGGCGGGCUAGAGUACGAAAGAGGGUCGCGGAAUUCCCGGUGUAGAGGUGAAAUUCGUAGAUAUCGGGAGGAACACCAGUGGCGAAGGCGGCGACCUGGGCCAAUACUGACGCUGAGGUGCGAAAGCGUGGGGAGCAAACAGG